UAGAAAUAGAAAUAGAAAUAGAAAUAGAAAUAGAAAUAGAAAUAGAAAUAGAAAUAUUUGGAAUUUAGCAGAAUAAGGGUGAUAUGACCAAUAUCUCCCAUUUUGACCAAUUCCUUAUUAUUUUAAGAGUGUUUGAGGAGAUGGAGAAUAUGAAUAUAAUCAUUGGAAGUUUUUUCUUUCUUUCCAGGUUUGCAUCCCGUGGCUCCAGGAGCAGUUCUUGGUUUGCAGGCAGUGUAGUUAGCUGAUUGUCUGCAGAAUUCCACAAUCACUAACUUCACUGCCACCAAAACAAGGCACAGCGUUCCCCGCUCCAACCUCGGCCUGGAAACUCCCAAUUUCCUUAUUCCUACUGCAAAAUCAUGAAUAAUCUGAUUUAUCUGCACCUCUGUUUCCAGAAUUUUAGCUGCCCACAGCAGUGAGUGCUGCACUUUGGUGAUAUAAAGUGAAAUCUUGGAUUUCUCGGAGUUGGUGCUAAAAUCCACAGGAAUUUUCCUGCACCAAGAAUCCUGUCUGGUUUAAAAUGUUUAAUUUACUGUAUACUUAAUUUUUAAUGCACACAGACUGGACUAUGAAUUAUUUUAUCUGCCAGACAUCAAUAAUUUUCUUUAUUUUUAUUACAUGUUUUACUAAGCAAGAUUUGCAGGCUUUGACUCCCAUUCUGACUGGGCUCGUCUCAGCCUCACCGAGGCCUCUGUUCUCACAUUUCCCUCCGUUUAUUCUUGUUGAAUAAAUGAAAUUAAGGCCCGUGCUGGCAGCUUUCCCCAUCCUUGGAGAAGCUGGGCUAGAGUGGAAAUGACCUGAAAGAAGAUGGAAACUUCUACUGAACCCCAAUUACUGACCUGGUUAAUUAGUGUGCCCCACCAGCAACAGAACACAAAUAAAGCAAACUCACACUUUCA